AGUAACGGCGAGUGAAGCGGUAACAGCUCAAAUUUGAAAUCUGGCUCCUGCGGAGUCCGAGUUGUAAUUUGUAGAAGAUGCUUUGGGAGGGAGGCUCGGCCUAAGUUCCUUGGAACAGGACAUCAGAGAGGGUGAGAAUCCCGUAUGUGGCCGUGGCCUCCGCCCGUGUAAAGCUCUUUCGACGAGUCGAGUUGUUUGGGAAUGCAGCUCAAAAUGGGUGGUAAAUUUCAUCUAAAGCUAAAUAUUGGCCAGAGACCGAUAGCGCACAAGUAGAGUGAUCGAAAGAUGAAAAGCACUUUGGAAAGAGAGUUAAACAGUACGUGAAAUUGUUGAAAGGGAAGCGCUUGCACCCAGACUUGGGCGUCGUCGAUCAUCCGAGGUUCUCCUCGGUGCACUCGGCGAGGCACAGGCCAGCAUCGGUUUGGAUGGUUGGAGAAAGGCUCUAGGAACGUAGCUCUCUUCGGGGAGUGUUAUAGCCUAGGGCGUAAUGCAGCCCAUCUGGACCGAGGACCGCGCCUUUGGGCUAGGAUGCUGGCGUAAUGGUUGCAAGCGACCCGUCUUGAAACACGGACCAAGGAGUCUAACAUCUAUGCGAGUGUUUGGGCGUUAAACCCAUACGCGGAAUGAAAGUGAACGUAGGUGAGAACCCGUCUGGGUGCAUCAUCGACCGAUCCUGAUGUCUUCGGAUGGAUUUGAGUACGAAC
rnacentral:rRNA from 1 species